GCUAACUGAUAAUGGUCAUGCGUGACCCUAUAAAAAUUUAACCACUUUUGAUAACAAUAAACAAUAAUAUUAGCUGCCAUUUACUGAGGCUCAGAAACAUUAAAUAACUUGCCUAAGGUCACACAGCUAGUAAGUGGCAGAGCAGGAUCUUACAGUGACAGUUUGGAGGGAAGAGGAGAAUAGGUAAUGGACUUGAUUCCAGCCAUGUAGAUGCAGGUGGCCUCCUGGACUUAGCUUCUCCAGGGCCGGGCUUAACUCCAGAACUGCCAGGCAGCUCUGUCACCCCAACUCUCCUCAUGAGCUUGCUCUGGGACGGCUCCCAAAGCUACUUUUUAAUUACAAUCCACGUGAGAACACUGUGGCCAGAAGCUCCUAUUUUCCUGGCAUUUUCCUUCCAUUGGGGCCUCCCAACCUCAGGAAUUCCUCUGUAACAUGGCUAACUCCCCUAUUCUUUCCUCCUAGACUUUACCUUGUGGGUUCAGAGAGGAGACUGCUGUUGCUAAGCCCUGCUGAGCAUCAUUUCUGGUGUGGCAGAGUUGACAAGCCACCUGCUUCUUCACUACUCCUGACUCAUCUCUGCAGAGCAGACCCACCUCACUUCUUGGACAUCACUAAAGAAUGUUCUGAUUCCUAAUCUGAAAAUAUGAAAUCCAUAGUGCUCUGAAAUCUGAAACUUUUUGAGCACCAACAUGACACCACGUGUAAGAAAUUCUACUUGUGAGUACUUAACACAAACUUUGUUUCAUGUGCAAAAUCACUUAAAAUAGUUUGUAGAAUUAACUUCAGGCUAUAUGUAUAAGGUAUAUAUGAAGCGUAACUGAAUUUUACAUUUAGUUUGGGGUUCCAUUCCCAGGAUAUCUCAUGUAUAUGUAAAUAUUCCCAAAUCUGAAAUAAUCAGAAAUCCAAAACACUUCUUGGCCCAAGCAUUUUGGAUAAGGAUACUCAACCUGUCAGUUGAAUAUAAAAUAUUUUUCUUUGAUAGUUCUACAUGCCACAAAUUUUUCUGACUCCAAACAAGCCUAUGUCACUCUUGCCUCAGAUAUGUGUGAUUUGAAGCUUAGCAGAAAACCUGCCUCCCACUUUUUCUAGACUGUUUUCUAGGUAUAAUGCAGAUAACUUGUAAAAUAAUGUUCUAGGGUGUAAUAUAUAAAUCCUGCCUAGGCAAAAGCAAAAGGUGCAGGAAAGGACUCUAGGUUUAACUUCUAACUGGCUUACUCAUGCUUCUCUCCAAGAGAAAAGCCAAAAAUGUGCCCCCAAGGUGGAUGCCUGGUUAGUCAAUUAUGGGUAAGACUCUGUGCAACACAAGAGCAACCUAAGACAGGCACAGCCGUAGGGAGGCGAACAAAGGCUAAAUUCAUACAAAAAGC
rnacentral:lncRNA from 13 species